rnacentral:ribozyme from 18 species
UCGCAAGCUGUGAUGCAAGUAGUGUUUGGCUUCCACAAAGUAUAAAGCUGUGUCAGAGGAUCAAGUUUCGUGCUUAACGACAAA